AGUGAACGCUGGCGGUAGGCCUAACACAUGCAAGUCGAACGGCAGCACAGUAAGAGCUUGCUCUUACGGGUGGCGAGUGGCGGACGGGUGAGGAAUACAUCGGAAUCUACUUUUUCGUGGGGGAUAACGUAGGGAAACUUACGCUAAUACCGCAUACGACCUACGGGUGAAAGCAGGGGAUCUUCGGACCUUGCGCGAUUGAAUGAGCCGAUGUCGGAUUAGCUAGUUGGCGGGGUAAAGGCCCACCAAGGCGACGAUCCGUAGCUGGUCUGAGAGGAUGAUCCGCCACACUGGAACUGAGACACGGCCCAGACUCCUACGGGAGGCAGCAGUGGGGAAUAUUGGACAAUGGGCGCAAGCCUGAUCCAGCCAUACCGCGUGGGUGAAGAAGGCCUUCGGGUUGUAAAGCCCUUUUGUUGGGAAAGAAAAGCAGCAGGUUAAUACCCCGCUGUUCUGACGGUACCCAAAGAAUAAGCACCGGCUAACUUCGUG
rnacentral:rRNA from 1 species